rnacentral:rRNA from 1 species
GACGAACGCUGGCGGCGUGCUUAACACAUGCAAGUCGAACGGACAGGCCCUGCUUUUGUUGGGUUCUCGAUUGGCGAACGGGUGAGUAACCCGUGAGUAACCUGCCCUUGUCUUUGUGAUAACUUCAGGAAACUUGGGCUAAUACCGGAUAGGAGCUCCUGCUGCAUUGUGUGGGUUGGUAAGUUUCGGCGGUUGGGGAUGGACUCGCGGCUUAUCAGCUUGUUGGUGGGGUAGUGGCUUACAAAGGCUUUGACGGGUAGCCGGCAUGCGCGGGUGACCGGCGACAUUGGGACUGAGAGACGGACCAGAAUCGUACGGGAGGCAGCAGUGGGGAAUAGUGCAAAAUGGGCGGAAGCCUGAUGAAGCAACGCCGGGUGCGGGAUGACGGCCUUCGGGUUGUAAACCGAUUUAGCAUGUGACGAAGAGUGAGUGACGGUAAUGGGUAAAGAAGCACCGGCUAACUACGUG